AACGAACGCUGGCGGCAGGCCUAACACAUGCAAGUCGAGCGGUCCCUUUGGGGGCAGCGGCGGACGGGUGAGUAACGCGUGGGAACCUGGCCUUGGGUGCGGGAUAACGUCGGGAAACUGGCGCUAAUACCGCAUACGUCCUGAGGGAGAAAGUGGGGGAUCUUCGGACCUCACGCUAUCAGAUGAGCCUAGGUCGGAUUAGCUAGUUGGUGGGGUAAAGGCCUACCAAGGCGACGAUCCGUAACUGGUCUGAGAGGAUGAUCAGUCACACUGGAACUGAGACACGGUCCAGACUCCUACGGGAGGCAGCAGUGGGGAAUAUUGGACAAUGGGCGAAAGCCUGAUCCAGCCAUGCCGCGUGCGUGAAGAAGGUCUUCGGAUUGUAAAGCACUUUAAGUUGGGAGGAAGGGCAGUAAGUUAAUACCUUGCUGUUUGACGUUACCAACAGAAUAAGCACCGGCUAACUUUAUGCCAGCAGCCGCCGCAGU
rnacentral:rRNA from 1 species